rnacentral:lncRNA from 1 species
GGGCCUACUUGACAUAUGCCCAACUCAUUAACAUUUCCAUCCAUCUCCACCAAUCAUCAUAUAGAUUUAAAUGAUUUUGGAAUUUGGACAGUACAAGCAACGGUGAAUUAAACCUUUAGUUUAGCUAACUUUCCCGCACUUAAACAUAUAUAAGGUUUGAAGUGACAACGAGAUACAUUGCUCUAUAUUACUACAUCACCAUAAAAACAAAUCCAUGCAGCUUAUUCGGG